rnacentral:tRNA from 2 species
ACUAUUUUGGCAGAUAAGUGUAUUGGAUUUAGAAUCUUUUUAUAUAGGUUAAUUUCUAUAAAUAGUA